UCCCGUUGUUCCCAUUGUUCCCAUUCCCAUUGUUCCCAUUCCCAUUCCCAUUGUUCCCAUUAUUCCCAUUGUUCCCAUUAUUCCCAUUGUUCCCAUUCCCAUUGUUCCCAUUCCCAUUGUUCCCAUUAUUCCCAUUGUUCCCAUUCCCGUUGUCAUUCCCGUUGUUGUUCCCAUUGUCAUUCCCGUUGUCAUUCCCGUUGUCAUUUCUGUUGUUCCCAUUCUCAUUCCCGUUGUUGUUCCCGUUGUUAUUCCCAGUCCGGCUGUUGUCUCCGACACCUCUCGCUGGCCGGGAACCACCUGAGGGACAGCGACGUCCAGGAGCUGACGGGGUCAGGGACACCUGGGGACACCUGGGGACA
rnacentral:lncRNA from 1 species